GAUGAACGCUGGCGGCGUGCCUAAUACAUGCAAGUCGAGCGAACAGAUGAGGAGCUUGCUCCUCUGACGUUAGCGGCGGACGGGUGAGUAACACGUGGAUAACCUACCUAUAAGACUGGGAUAACUUCGGGAAACCGGAGCUAAUACCGGAUAAUAUAUUGAACCGCAUGGUUCAAUAGUGAAAGACGGUUUUGCUGUCACUUAUAGAUGGAUCCGCGCCGCAUUAGCUAGUUGGUAAGGUAACGGCUUACCAAGGCAACGAUGCGUAGCCGACCUGAGAGGGUGAUCGGCCACACUGGAACUGAGACACGGUCCAGACUCCUACGGGAGGCAGCAGUAGGGAAUCUUCCGCAAAGGGCGGAAGCCUGACGGAGCAACGCCGCGUGAGUGAUGAAGGUCUUCGGAUCGUAAAGCUCUGUUAUUAGGGAAGAACAAAUGUGUAAGUAACUAUGCACGUCUUGACGGUACCUAAUCAGAAAGCCACGGCUAACUACGUG
rnacentral:rRNA from 1 species